rnacentral:ncRNA from 12 species
GGCAUUUGAGGUGGUCAAUUUCGUGGCAGCCACACGCCGAUGGUUUGACAGGGGAGACCCAAGAGAUGCAGGAGAAUGCCACGCCUGCCAGAUGCC